rnacentral:rRNA from 1 species
CUACGGGAGGCUGCAGUCGAGAAUCUUCGGCAAUGGGCGUAAGCCUGACCGAGCGACGCCGCGUGCGGGAUGAAGGCCUUCGGGUUGUAAACCGCUGUCAGUUGGGAGGAAAUCACAUGGGGUCAUCCCCAUGUGUUGACCUAUCUUCAGAGGAAGUACGGGCUAAGUUCGUGCCAGCAGCCGCGGUAACACGAACCGUACAAACGUUAUUCGGAAUCACUGGGCUUAAAGGGUGCGUAGGCGGCUCUGCAAGUUGGGUGUGAAAGCCCUCGGCUCAACCGAGGAACUGCGCUCAAAACUGCAGGGCUAGAGGGAGACAGAGGUGAGCGGAACUUAGGGUGGAGCGGUGAAAUGCGUUGAUAUCCUAAGGAACACCAGUGGCGAAAGCGGCUCACUGGGUCUCUUCUGACGCUGAGGCACGAAAGCUAGGGGAGCGAACGGGAUUAGAUACCCUCGUAGUC